AUGGGAUUUUUUUUCCAUUUUCUUUUUGAGCGUACCGGGUUUUCUCCAUGCUGUUUCUUACUCUCCUCUUUUACAGCCCUCCCAUUUCCCUCGUUUUUCUUUGAAAAUUUCUCCCCCCUCCAGUUCGCUGUCCUGCCCUCACAUGUGCGAGAGGGGCAGUGUGCCGUUAAUGGCCGUGCCGGGCACCGGGCCGCUCUGGUAGUGCUGGGACAUGUGCAGUCUGCUGGGGGCGGCGGGUUCCGGCACCUCGGCGCCAGGGAGAUACAUGCUGAUCAUGUCCCGGAGGUCCCCGGCCUGGCAGGGCGCCCUGGAGUGGGAGGAAGAGGUAACCACAGGGGGGCUGGAGCUGGCCUCGGACUUGACCACCGAACCCAUGGAACCAAGAGCCAUGCCAGGGGUGCCCUGCUGCGAGUAGGACAUGCUGUAGGUGGGCGAGCCGUUCAUGUAGGUCUGCGAGCUGGUCAUGGAGUUGUACUGCAGUGCGCUCACGUCGUAGCGGUGCAUGGGCUGCAUCUGCGCUGCGCCGUGCGCGUUGAGGCCCGGGUGCUGAGGGUAGCCCAGCUGGUCCUGCAUCAUGCUGUAGCUGCCGUUGCUCCAGCCGUUCAUAUGCGCGUAACUGUCCAUGCGCUGGUUCACGCCCGCGCCCAGGCCGGCGCCCACCCCGACCCCGCUCGCCAUGCUGUUGCCGCCGGGGGCCAGCAGCCCGCCGGGCAGCGUGUACUUAUCCUUCUUCAUGAGCGUCUUGGUUUUCCGCCGGGGCCGGUAUUUAUAAUCCGGGUGCUCCUUCAUGUGCAGCGCUCGCAGCCGCUUAGCCUCGUCGAUGAAGGGCCGCUUCUCCGUCUCCGACAAAAGUUUCCACUCUGCUCCGAGGCGCUUGCUGAUCUCCGAGUUGUGCAUCUUGGGGUUCUCCUGGGCCAUUUUGCGCCGCUGCCCGCGGGACCACACCAUGAAGGCAUUCAUGGGCCGCUUAACGCGGUCCGGACUGUUCUUCUGGUUGCCGCCCGCCGCCGCCGCAGUAGAGUUGCCGCCGCCGCCGCCGCCCCCCGAAGUUUGCUGCGGGCCCGGCGGCUUCAGCUCCGUCUCCAUCAUGUUGUACAUGCGGGCGCUGUGCGCGGGCCCGGCCCGCCGGCGGCCGCCGACCCUCGGCCCGGCCGGGACUUUGGGGGGCCCGCGGGCGGGGGGAGAGGAGGAGGGGAGGCGGGCGGGGGUGUCGGGAGCGCAGGGCUCCGCGAGGAAAAUCAGGCGAAGAAUAAUUUGGGGGAAAAAAAGAGAGAGGCAAACUGGAAUCAGGAUCAAAAAAGAGCUUCCCUCCUCCUCCGGCCGAUCCUGCCGCCGCCGAUGAUUGUUAUUAUUAUUUUUUGGAAAGGCUUAAGCCUGGGGCUCAAACUUCUCUCCCUUUCUUUCUCUCUCCUCUUCUUUCUCUCAGUCCUAGUCUUAAAGAGGCAGCAAACUACUUUCCCCCUUUUGCAAACACUCUCUUCUCUGCCUUGA
rnacentral:lncRNA from 1 species